rnacentral:rRNA from 1 species
UUGACCGUGCCAAGGUAGCAUAAUCAAUUGUCUUUUAAUUAAAGGCUAGAAUGAAUGGUUUAAUGAGAUAUUAACUAUUUUUAUUUUAAAAAAAAUGAAUUUUAAUUUUUAGUAAAAAUGCUAAAAUAAAAAAAUUAGACGAGAAGACCCUAUAAAUCUUUAUUUUGAAUUUUUUUUUUAAAAAAUAUGAAAAUAAUUUUUUUUAAAAAAAAAUAAAAAUUUUAUUGGGAAGAUAAUGAAAUUUAAAAAACUUUUAUUUUUUUUUAUAAUUAUAAUUAAUUUUUUUUAUAUAUUUAUAAUAAUAUUUAAAAAAUUAAGUUACUUUAGGGAUAACAGCGUAAUUAUUUUAAAGAGUUCUUAUCGAUAAAAUAGAUUACGACCUCCGCAUGUGAAUUAAGAAUUAACUGAACAUGACAGAAGUAACCAC